rnacentral:rRNA from 1 species
GAUGAACGCUGGCGGCGUGCCUAAUACAUGCAAGUCGAGCGAAUGGAUUGAGAGCUUGCUCUUAUGAAGUUAGCGGCGGACGGGUGAGUAACACGUGGGUAACCUGCCCAUAAGACUGGGAUAACUCCGGGAAACCGGGGCUAAUACCGGAUAACAUUUUGAACCGCAUGGUUCGAAAUUGAAAGGCGGCUUCGGCUGUCACUUAUGGAUGGACCCGCGUCGCAUUAGCUAGUUGGUGAGGUAACGGCUCACCAAGGCAACGAUGCGUAGCCGACCUGGGAGGGUGAUCGGCCACACUGGGCCUGAGACACGGCCCAGACUCCUACGGGAGGCAGCAGUAGGGAAUCUUCCGCAAUGGACGAAAGUCUGACGGAGCAACGCCGCGUGAGUGAUGAAGGCUUUCGGGUCGUAAAACUCUGUUGUUAGGGAGGAACAAGUGCUAGUUGAAUAAGCUGGCACCUUGACGGUACCUAACCAGAAAGCCACGGCUAACUACGUGCCAGCCGCCGCAGUAA